AUAAUUGUGACUAUAUUUAUUGUUAUCACAGUGACUGAUAUAUGACUAAAUCGUAUGUCUCCAUUUAUGACUAUAGAGCAACUAAAUGUUCGUGACAAAUUCAUAUAAAAGAAGGUAAACAAAAAUAUUUCUAGACCCCAAAUGAAUUUUUAAACCCUAAACUCUUAACACAAAUCUCAAAACUCUAAUAUUUUCAUAUUUUAACCUCACAUCUUAAAUUUAAAUAUAAAAUUUAGUAUU
rnacentral:lncRNA from 1 species